AGGACGAACGCUGGCGGCGUGCUUAAUACAUGCAAGUCAACUUGACUUUAGAUAGCAAUAUCGAAAAGUAGGGUGGCGCACGGGUGCGUAACGCGUAGGUAAUCUGCCCUGAGGUCUGACAUAACCCGUCGAAAGGCGGGCUAACAUCAGAUGAUAUAUAAUCACGACAUCGUGGAAAUAUCAAAUCUUCGGAGCCUUGGGAUGAGCCUGCGUCUGAUUAGGUAGUUGGCGGAGUAAUAGCCCACCAAGCCUACGAUCAGUAGCUGGUCUGAGAGGAUGAUCAGCCACACUGGAACUGAGACACGGUCCAGACUCCUACGGGAGGCAGCAGUAAGGAAUAUUGCUCAAUGGGGGAAACCCUGAAGCAGCAACGCCGCGUGAAGGAUGAAAUACUCUUGUAUGUAAACUUCUGUAGGAUGGGAAAAAUAUUCUCCUCGGGAGAAUUGAUUGUACCAUCAGAGUAAGCCCCGGCUAACUACGUG
rnacentral:rRNA from 1 species